ensembl:lncRNA
CUUUUAAUGUUUGUUAAACGAGGUUAAAUAUGGGCAAUAUGUAUAGCCUAUUAAAAACGAUAUAAACAAUGCUGUAAAUGAUAAAGGAAAAUAAAGGAAGUUAUCAUGCAAACCAGUGGUUGUGUGGAGUAUUUUAGAAAAGUUUAGAGGAUUUAAGUUCAUCUGUAAACAUUAUUUAAUGUAUGAAGUAAAAAAUAAGCUAGUAAUAUAGUAAAAAUGAAUAAACCAUAUCUGGGUUAAAUAAACCAAUAAUUAAAUGAUAAAUAAAGGAAAAUAAAGGAAGUUAUCAUGCAAACCAGUGGUUGUGCGGAGUAUUUUAGAAAAGUUUAGAGGAUUUUAGUUAAUCUGUAAACAUUAUUUAAUGUAUGAAGUAAAAAAUAAGCUAGUAAUGUAGUAAAAACGAAUAAACCAUAGCUGGGUUAAAUCAACCCAUUAUGGUGGGUUAAAUAAACAACCCAAUUGGGGUUGGGUUUUUUUUUUAACCCAGUGUUUUUUAGCGUGUAUAAAAUGGGAAUACGGGCACGAAGUUCUGACCAUAUUAGGAGCACAUCUGGCAAAGGAUACCUCAACUCUGAGCUAAAGGACAGAUCCACCGCACAAUGAACAAGAGGAACCAAUAGCAUGAAGUCAAGAGGGCAAGGGACAGCAAUCAAUUAAUAACAAAAUAAAAGACAUGAAAACAUGAACAUGACAAAACCCAAAACAUGAAACAAAACCCUCAUUACAGAAUGCCAUUCUUUUGUUGCAGAAGCAAAACCAUGGAUGUUGUAAAUGCUGUGAAAAUCAAGAUCAUACUGGUUUGGACUUUCGCAUCUGUCUGUGAGGCCAGUGAUGAUUCAUGUACCUUAAGUUCAAGCUGUGCUGAUGUGACUGGUACUGUGCAUGAAGAACUAACUCUCACUUGCAGCAUCUCACUGAACUGCACUAAAGAAGCUGAUCAGUGCUGCAUUAUAUCGUACAUGUUUAAGGAUGAAAACACCACAGUAAUCUACAAAAAGGAGUUUCCUAACAAGACCUGUGAACGAAAGAUCAAAGCCACAUGUGUUUACAAAUCAAGUAAAAACAUCACAGCAAAAUUUAUGUUAUUUUUCCAAACAACUUGUGGGAUAAAGGACACAGAAUUCAUCGUUAAUGUAACAGGUAGGCUACAUGGUGCUAGUUUUUCUAACACAUCAAACUGUUUUGUUUUGUUGACCUUAUGAUCUUUAAAAAUCUGUUUACAGAGUCUGGAGAUAAACCCACCAAUACAGAUACUGUUAAGAAAGGUAUUGCUUAUCAUAUUCAUAUUCUAUCAUUUUACUGCUGUUUACUGGUCCAUAUUACUUACAGGAACAUGAGAAGCUGCACUUCAUCCUCUUGUCAGCACAUUUGUAACUCCACGUCAUAAAUCAUAAGUGAUUUCAGGAGUCAAAGUACAUAGAUCAUGAUAAUAAUAGAUAUAUUCUAUCUAAUAUCUAGCAGAAAUAUACAAAAUGCAAUGAAUAUAUGAGUCUGGUGUUGUUUUUGUAGUUUUAACCAUGUCCUAACAAAGUCUGAAUUCACUUUGAGAUAUAAUUUUUUUUUUCUUUAUUUUCUCAUCAAAGGUGAAGCAAAGCUGACAACAUCUGAGGUCACUGUCAUUGUGUUCGCCAUAAUUGUCUUCAUCAUCAUAAUGUUAAUCAUUUAUAGGAAAUACAAUCCCACAAUCCCUUGUCGACUCCAGAGAGACUAUAAAACAGCUGAUUCUGCCACAAAAGAUGAUGACAACGGUGAAUAGUCAGAAUGAGCUUCUCAACCGCACAGCAGGACUGUGUAGCAGUUGUGUUUCACAUCCAGUGCAGGUCAUGAGCCUUUAAACAUGUUUAUUGUUGCACCAGUGUUGUUAAAAGUGUGUACAGAGGAAUCAUAACUGUCUGUUUUAUUUGGUCUACUCAGUGCACUCUUAUCCUAAGCUGUAUGUUCUGUUUUAUAUUGAUUUCUGUGAAAUAACAGAAUGCUAUCGAUCUGUUUGAUCAGAUUACUGUAUACAGUAAUUAUGUUGAAUGUUCUCAAGUCCAUACACUCUCAGAAAAAAAGGUACAAAAUCUGUCACUGGGACGGUACCAGUGUUGGGAAGGUUACUUUGGUAAUGUAACAGGUUACAGAUUACAAGUUACCCUAUUUAAAAUGUAAUAAGUAGUGUAACUAUUUCAGUUACUUUAUUGGAGUAACUGAUUACAUUUGAUUACUUUUUGAUAACUUUUCUAAAUCUCUAAUGAAUGUUUUUAACUGGUAAUCAUUUUCAAACAUGUAAAUCAGGCAGGGUUAACCUCACACUAGAAAUCCCUGAUCACUUGAUUUAAGAUCAUUGGUGUCUCAUAUUUUAGAGCAGUCAAUGCAAUUUGGGAAAGAAAUCAGUCAAAUCUGUGUGUGUGUGUGUGUGUGUGUGUGAUUGUGUGUGAAAAUAUUCAGAUGUAACCCCCUUUGUAAUCGUUAACAUUUUCAUAAGUAACUGUAAUCAGUAAGAUUACAGUUACAUUUAUUUUGUAAUUAAAUUACGUAAUUCUGUUACAUGUAACUAGUUACUCCCCAACCCUGGACGAUACCUUAUCAAAAGGUACACCUUUGUACCUUAUUUACCCCUAAAAAGUGCAUAUUAGUACCUUAAAGUUACAAAUGAAUACCUUAAGUGUACAUAUUAGUACUUUUUAAAAAGGAACUGCACCAGUGUCAGCUUUUGUACCAUUUCUCUGAGUGUAUAAUCAAGCUCCUAUAUUGACAGGCCUCAGGAAUUUUCUUGGUUUGUUGGGUGUUGUUGUGUUUUUUUUUUCUUUUCUUUUUUUCUGUAUAAUGAAUAGGGUAAUUUGCUUCUCUAACCUCAUGUCAUUUGAGGACAUGUUAUCUGUCGGCAUGUGUCUGCUUUGUUUGUCUGCCACGUGAGUGAAUUUGCGUUGAGUUUCUUUGAAUGAGAUGCCCUGAAUAAAACAUUUUUCAUCUGUUUAAAAACA